GGUUUAAUAGUUUAGGACCUGUGGGUUUGUUAAGUAUUGUUUGCAUUAAUGAAUUAAAGCUCCAUAGGGUCUUCUCGUCUUGCUAUGUUAUGCCCGCCUCUUCACGGGUAGGUCAAUUUCACUGGUUGAAAGUAAGAGACAGCGGUGCUUUAUGUUAAGCUUCACUCUGGUUCGUCCAAGUGCACUUUCCAGUACACUUACCAUGUUACGACUUAUCUCCUCUAUAUAAAUGCGUAGGGGGUUUAGUUAAAUAUCCUUUGAAGUAUACUUGAGGAGGGUGACGGGCGGUGUGUACGCGCUUCAGGGCC
rnacentral:lncRNA from 1 species